rnacentral:lncRNA from 1 species
GACAUCUCCACCUGGACCCCUCUGCACGGCGCCUGACCCAGAGCACCAGAGCCGGACCCUGGGACUUGCCCUGCUCUUCUCUCUCUCUCUCUCUGCCUGUCUCUCUCUCUUUCUCUGUCUCUCUCUCUCUCUGCCCCACAUUCACCCAAUCACCAGAUCCUAGGGAGUCCACCCUCCUAGACUCUGUUGUGUCUUCCGUCCCACAUCUUCACCGACUCCCGCCAGGUUCCGGUUGUGCUGCCACUGCCGCGUCACCAGCCGUCCUGCCUCUCUGGUCCCUCCUCACCCAAACUCUGCUGGAAGGUGCUGUUCAACAUGACCAAGAUGCCAUCGCAGAAGAACUCUUGUCACAGUGGAUUCCUACCCAAAUUUACCGCCAGGAAAAAGUUAUUGGUUUUCGGGGUUUUUUUUGGUCUUGAGGGGAAGUUCUGAGGCGGCUGCUUGCUGCUGGCGGGAAGAAGAAAGCAGAGGACCUGCUGGAAUUGGGUUACGCAUGCGGCUGUCUCCCUGCACGCGGCAGCCGCACGCGCGGCGUCCGUGGACCCUGUAGCUCCCUUGGUGUCUUGGGAGGAACUUGUGGCGUUUUGCACCCACACCAGCCCUGCUCCCUGGAAGAGGAGGCGGAGCUGUGCUGGAGACAUCUGUCACCCUCUGGCUUCCCAGAAAACCGAACAGCACAGGCCGUUUCCCGUGGGUCUGAGUGAAAUUGUCACUGUGGCUGCUUCCUCGCAUCCCCCUUUUAUCAGCGUCUUUGUAGCUUUAUCCCUCGUUUCUCUCUGUGAUUUCUGGACGAGGUGCCACUCAGCUGGUUGUAUGCUAAAGCUGCUUCCAACCCUUCCCCUUAGAGCUGUUAUGACGGGAUUAAGGGCUUUCUCUCCUUUCACACAAUCAUUCAUUAAAA